rnacentral:tRNA from 1 species
AGGGAUUUACGAUUAACUGGUAAACACGCGGGCUCCAACCCCGCGAUUCUCGGUUCGAAUCCGGGCAUCCCUGCCA